GGGGAAUAUUGGACAAUGGGCGCAAGCCUGAUCCAGCCAUGCUGCGUGAGUGAUGAAGGCCUUAGGGUUGUAAAGCUCUUUCACUGGGGAAGAUAAUGACGGUACCCAGAGAAGAAGCCCCGGCUAACUUCGUGCCAGCAGCCGCGGUAAUACGAAGGGGGCUAGCGUUGUUCGGAAUUACUGGGCGUAAAGCGCACGUAGGCGGACUGUUAAGUUAGGGGUGAAAUCCCAGGGCUCAACCCUGGAAUUGCCUUUGAUACUGGCAGUCUCGAGGCCGAGAGAGGUGAGUGGAACUCCGAGUGUAGAGGUGAAAUUCGUAGAUAUUCGGAAGAACACCAGUGGCGAAGGCGGCUCACUGGCUCGGUACUGACGCUGAGGAGCGAAAGCGUGGGGAGCAAAC
rnacentral:rRNA from 1 species